AGGUUGACAAAGAAGAGUCACAGGUUUCAGCCAAGUUAUCCCCAGCAUGGCUGCUUGCGUGGGAAGCCCACAGCUGAGGGACUGUCUGCACGUGGCAUGCAGGAGUCACAAGCGCCAUCUACACCCCACCCCGGGCCAGGCAGAUGACCUCUCUGGUCUCAGUUUCCUGAUGAGGAACAGGAAGGGCUGGACCGAAAGAUCCCUUCCAGCCCGGACAUGGAAUGACCCCACGAGGGCCACGGUGAGGUCUGUCCCAGCUCCGCACACUAGCUCGGGCCAGCAGUUUCCAAAGGCACAGCCGCAGGGGCCUUGGAGCAGGGACAAGGAGGACCAGCCCACUUCACCCUCCUGGGCAGAGGUCAAGGACCCUGCCUUUGGCCCACAUUCCUUGUGGCCAAAAAUGCAGAAGCAAGCAGUGCUGGCAGAGGCACCUAGACCUUUGGGCAAAGCAGGGGCUCCACCUGACACCCCAGGCCUGGAGCACGAGAAAACCAGCCCAGGCCUCAGGUCCCCUGACUGCCAGCGACCAGGGAAUGUGACACUUUCCGGCCUCUGCUUCCUCAUCUCUCAAUCCUAGGG
rnacentral:lncRNA from 1 species